CUUCUCAUUGUCCAGUGUCCAGUGUCCAGUGUCAUGAGUUUGACUAUCCCCUUAACCCUAGGGCAGGAGUCCCUCCCUUGCCAAUGGUGUGAAACGGAGGUGAAAAACCAUGAAAUCACAAAGUGUGUUCUCUAAGCAUAAGGGAAUCAACCUAAAUCAAUAAAAAGGUAACAGAAAAAUCUAAGACCCAUAAGCCAAACAACACAAUUCUCAAUAAUCCAUGGAUGCAAGAGGAAAUCCCAAGGGAAAUUAAAAAAAAAAAAGAUGUGAUCUGUAUCAAAGGUGGAGGUAAUUAAAGGAAAGAAGGAGUUGGGAGUGGUUUGAAAUUCAGAUGGUGAGAGGCAGGAGGUGAGCUAGCCAUCACAGUCACUCUAAGGGACCAGUGCAGAUGUAUGGGUUCCAUUAACUACUUAAACACCUUGGAAAGUAGAAGGAGAUACAGUACUCUGAGGGGAAAGUUGAUAGGUGGAAUUUACGGGGUGAAAGUUGAAACAAAACUAUGGGAGUGCUGACCAGAGACAAGAGAAUCACCUUCACAGAACACAGGAGAUCAUGGAGAAAGGUGGGAAAAGACAGAGGCUGAUGGCUGAUGGUGUGACACAGAAGACUUCCUUCCUUCCCUUUCAUGCCCUGCCAUAGCUGAGCCCUUUAAGUGGGAAUGCUGACAAGGAACUUGGACCUUCUGAGCAUAACAAUCAUGUGAUGAAAACUCUCUGCCAGCUGCUUCUCUCUGAGCAGCCAGAAAUUAUUCUUAUUAACUUUUCUUUAUCCUUGUCUUUUAUCUGCCCAGAGUCUGCAGAGAUUCAGGGGAUUACUUUGCAAUUAUAACUACAAAGAUAUAGGAAUAAAACUUUAAAAAUCAAUUUAAUAAAUAUUUUUUAUUAUUUGGGGGUUUGUUACUUCACCCAAUUUGUUCAGCAAGUACUUCCUUGUUCAUGGCUGGGAACCAGCAUACAACAAGAUGUAGGAUGGAGAUGAUUGUCAGCUCUGGCUAUCAAAGACCAAGUUCUUUCUACACUUUUCCUCCACUGUCUCUAGUGGGUUGGCUUUCAUCCUCAUGUUUCUUGCCUCAUGGUUACAAGAUGACUGCUACCACUCCAGACAUCACAUAAAAAUUUAAGGCAGAGAAAUAAACAUAGAGGAAAAAGGCUUUCUUCUGAAGUU
rnacentral:lncRNA from 1 species